rnacentral:ncRNA from 1 species
CGCGCCGACCUCUCGGGACGCGUGCACCAUUUAUCAGACCAAAACCAACCCCGGGCUCGCCCGGCGGCUUUGGUGACCUAGAUAACCUCCGAGCCGAUCGCACGCCCCCGUGGCGGCGACGACCCAUUCGAAUGUCUGCCCUAUCAAACUUUCGAUGGUACUGUCUGUGCCUACCAUGGUGACCACGGGUAACGGGGAAUCAGGGUUCGAUUCCGGAGAGGGACCUGAGAAACCGGCUACCACAUCCAAGGAAGGCAGCAGGCGCGCAAAUUACCCACUCCCACCCGGGAGGUAGUGACGAAAAAUACACAAUACAGGACUCCUUUCGAGGCCCUGUAAUUGAAUGAGUCCACCUUUAAAUCCUUUAACGAGGAUCCAUUGGAGGGCAAGCUGGUGCCAGCAGCCGCGGUAAUUCCAGCUCCAAUAGCGUAUAUUAAAGUUGCUGCAGUUAAAAAGCUCGUAGUUGGAUCUAUGAUCGGCGGCGGAUCCCGCCUCCAGGCCUGGCUCCGCCUGAUCCCCGCCCCCUUCCCCGGCGGCCACUCGAUGCCUUAACCGUUAAGAGGGACGGCCGGGGGCAUUCGUAUUGUGCCGCUAGAGUAAAUUCCUUGGAACCGGCGCAAGACGAACAAAGCGAAAGCAUUUGCCAAGAAUGUUUCAUAAUCAAGAACGAAAGUCGGAGGUUCGAAGACGAUCAGAUACCGUCGUAGUUCCGACCAUUAAACGAUCCCGACUCGCGAUCCGGCGGCGUUAUUCCAUGACGCCGCCGGGCAGCUCCCGGAAACCAAUCUUUGGGUCCG